rnacentral:SRP_RNA from 1 species
ACUGGGCGUAAUGGCGUACGCCUGAUUCCAGCUCCUCGGGAGGCUGAGACUGAUGGAUCUCUUGAGCUCAGGAGUUCUGAGCGGCAGUGGGUUAUGCCAAUCUGGUGUCUGCACUAAGUUUGGCUUAACAUGGUGAACUCCUGUGAGUGGGGGACCACCAGGUUGACAAAGGAAGGGUAAGAAACAAUUCAGAAACAGAGAAAUUCUAAUUUCCUGUGCAAAUCAAAUAAUGGAUCAGGCCACAAGUAGCCUCUAUACUUUCGGCUUCAGUAAGAUGGAGAGAUCCAUUCUU